GACAAAAUGUACACUUGAUAUCCAUAAUUUAUGGUACAAAUUGAUACAAAUUGAUAAUAGGUUAGGUAAAUGUUUCAUGAUAAUAGGUUAGAUAAAUGUUCCAUGAUAAUAGGUUAGGUAAAUGUUCCAUGAUAAUGGGUUAGGUAAAUGUUUCAUGAUAAUGGGUUAGGUAAAUGUUUCAUGAUAAGAAUUUCAUGUCUUUUUGUAUUAAAGAAUUAAAUGGAUGAAAUAUGAAGUUUUAUUAAAAGAAAAAGGGGUGAAAAGAACAAAGUUUUGUCCAUCUUUGUUCAUCAUAGCUGAAAGUUAGAGAAGAGAAAGGAGAGGAGAAAGCUCUUGAGUAUUCGGUCAUUAGAAGGAGGAAAAUUGAAGGCGGUUCGUGUGUGGAUCUCGUCAGCAUAUCGUCGCAAACAGGAAAUCCCCAACCAUAGUGGGCUUGGAGCUGUGAGGGAAUUCGGAGUGGCCACCCGUUCUGAAAGUUUGAUUUUCUUCUGGUGAAUUGGACAUCCUUUUAAUUACGUUUGAGGUUUUGGGCUUUUAAAUGUAAUAAGGCCGCUUAAUUAUUUUUAAUGGUUUUAAUAAGUAUUACUAAGAUAGGUAAUACUUAUUUUAACUGUUGAAAUUAGAUAGCUUUAGGGCAAGUUUUCAAAAACAACAGUUGAUUUCAAAAUAACACGACAACAAGCAAAGCUUCCGCAAUGAAAGUAUUUUUUCCAAAA